rnacentral:tRNA from 1 species
GGUUGUGGCUCAGUGGUAGAGCGCUCACCUAGCACAUGCGAGGUGCUGGGUUUAAUUCUCAGCACCA